GAUGAACGCUGGCGGCAUGCCUAAUACAUGCAAGUCGAGCGAAGCGGGGACGGGGGAGUAACACGUGGAUAACCUCCUAUAUGACGGGGGUAACAUCCGGAAACCGGUGCUAAACCCGCUACUUAUCGAUGGUUCCGAGCUGCAUUAGCUAGUGGGUAAGGUAACGGGUAACCAAGGCAACGAUGCAUAGCUGACCUUAGAGGGUGAUCGGCCACACUGGAAAUGAGAAACGGUCCAGACUCCGACGGGAGGCAGCAGUAGGGAAUCUUCCGCAAUGGGCGAAAGCCUGAAGGAGCAAUGCCGCGUGAGUGAUGAAGGUCGUCGGGUCGUAAAACUCUGUCAGUAGGGAAGCGGUACCUAAUCAGAAAGCCACGGCUAACUACGUGCCAGCAGCCGCGGUAAUUC
rnacentral:rRNA from 1 species